rnacentral:sRNA from 1 species
GGGGGUCCGGAAGUCAACACCAUGUCAAGUCUGCACAAGAGCCGAAUUGCAGAUUUCCAGGAUGUCCUGAAGGAGCCCUCAAUUGCAUUGGAAAAGCUGCGGGAACUCAGCUUUAGUGGGGAACUGACCUGAAUUAGGAUGAGAUGGUGGUGGUAAAGGCUGCUCCUGAGGAAGGAAUAUCAAGGAUGAGAAGGCAUCCCCUGUGAGGGCGGACUGCGGUGCCUCUGCUGGAAGAUUCUCUUGAACUACCUUCCCUUGGAGAGAGCCUCAUGGACCUCCAUCCUGGCCAAGCAGAGGGAGCUGUAUGCCCAGUUCCUGAGGGAAAUGAUCAUCCAGCCUGGCAUUGCCAAGGCCAACAUGGGUGUGUCCAGGGAGGAUGUGACUUUUGAGGACCAUCCACUCAACCCCAACCCUGACAGCCGGUGGAACACGUACUUCAAGGACAACGAGGUGCUGCUGCAGAUCGACAAAGAUGUCCGGAGGUUGUGCCCAGACAUUUCCUUCUUCCAGAGGGCCACUGACUACCCUUGCCUCCUCAUCCUGGACCCCCAGAAUGAGUUUGAAACCCUUCGUAAGAGAGUGGAACAGACAACACUGAAAUCUCAGACGGUGGCCCGGAACCGGAGUGGGGUCACAAAUAUGAGCUCCCCACACAAGAACUCUGCGCCAUCAUCCCUAAAUGAGUAUGAGGUGCUGCCCAAUGGCUGUGAGGCCCACUGGGAGGUGGUGGAGCGGAUCCUGUUCAUCUACGCCAAGCUCAACCCUGGCAUCGCUUAUGUGCAAGGCAUGAAUGAAAUCGUGGGGCCCCUCUACUACACCUUUGCCACCGACCCCAAUA